rnacentral:rRNA from 1 species
UACGAAGGGGGCUAGCGUUGCUCGGAAUCACUGGGCGUAAAGGGUGCGUAGGCGGGUCUUUAAGUCAGGGGUGAAAUCCUGGAGCUCAACUCCAGAACUGCCUUUGAUACUGAAGAUCUUGAGUUCGGGAGAGGUGAGUGGAACUGCGAGUGUAGAGGUGAAAUUCGUAGAUAUUCGCAAGAACACCAGUGGCGAAGGCGGCUCACUGGCCCGGUACUGACGCUGAGGAGCGAAAGCCAGGGGAGCAAACGGG